CGGAGUAAUGCGUGACCAACCUGCCCCAUGCUCCAGAAUAGCUCUUGGAAACGGGUGGUAAUGCUGGAUGCUCCAACUUGACGCAUGUCUUGUUGGGAAAGUGUUUAGUGGCAUGGGAUGGGGUCGCGUCCUAUCAGCUUGUAGGCGGGGUAAUGGCCCACCUAGGCUUCGACGGGUAGCCGGCCUGAGAGGGCGGACGGCCACAUCGGGACUGAGAUACGGCCCAGACUCCUACGGGAGGCAGCAGAU
rnacentral:rRNA from 1 species